rnacentral:rRNA from 1 species
GACGAACGCUGGCGGCGUGCUUAACACAUGCAAGUCGAACGGAAAGGCCCUGCUUUUGUGGGGUGCUCGAGUGGCGAACGGGUGAGUAACACGUGAGUAACCUGCCCUUGACUUUGGGAUAACUUCAGGAAACUGGGGCUAAUACCGGAUAGGAGCUCCUGCUGCAUGGUGGGGGUUGGAAAGUUUCGGCGGUUGGGGAUGGACUCGCGGCUUAUCAGCUUGUUGGUGGGGUAGUGGCUUACCAAGGCUUUGACGGGUAGCCGGCCUGAGAGGGUGACCGGCCCAUUUUGGGCCUGAGCUCCCGCCCGGCCCCCGCGGGGGGGCGGCGGUGGGGAUUUUUGCCCACUGGGCGGCACCCGUACGCAGCACCCCCGCGUGGGGGAGGCGGGCUUUCGGUUUGUAACCCUCUUUCCCCUGGCACGAAGCGUGCUUGACGUUAAUGGGUAAAGAAGCCCCGGCUAACUCCGUC